AAUGAUAUUUAAGACGAGAAUUUCUGCUAUUGUGUUGAGAAACGCAGUGUCCCUGCUUUCUCCCAUGUAUACAUGUUAUUAAACUUGGUAUUAUUUUCUCCUGCUAACCUGUCUUGUUGAUUAUUUGGCCAGCCAGAAGAACCUUAAGGGAAAGGGCAGAGGGAGAUUCUCCCUCUUCCCCCGACAGUUUUUGCGAGCCAGCCAGGAGAAGCACUGGCUGGUAAGUUGUCUUCUCUGGCUGGAAGACCUGCCUUCUCCCUGGACUACUGCAGAUGAUGAGAUACGGGAACGCCUGACGAAAGCCGGCAAAAGGACACAAUUAAAAACACUGGUUCUAUUACCAAGGUUGUGACUGGAACAUCAUAUUUACAAUAUAACCAUACAGCUUUUGAGGAAUGAAGAUUAGACUUUAUGGAAUAAAGCCACGUAGAAAUAUUGGCCUGGUACCUUAUGUUCCAAGCAGCACUUACCAGGAUAAGUAAAGAAUGUCACUUAUCUGGCAGCCUUACAAACUGAAGUUGAUGAACUUGAUAUAAACUUAAGAGAUGACCUGACGACACCAUCAGAGACAUUUUAAACUGCAAAAGAUACUUUGACGCUGACAUCUAAAAUUCUUCUUCACUGGCAGUCCUCUGAACUCAAAAACUGGUUUACAAUUUGCUCUAACCAUUAACCUUGUUUUUCUUUCGUUUACACAAAUAUGCUUUUGGAGUCUGCCAUGCUGUUGGCACAAUUUA